UGGAGAAGCAAAGGGGGAGAAGAGGGAGAAGGUUUUAUGGAUCCUGUGAGUCUGCUUAUCACAGUCAUUUGAAGAGAGAAACAACAACUGCCAAUCAUGAAACAGAGGAUGUGUGAGAUAUGGGCUUGCUGUGAACCAAGAUGAUCCAAAGGGGAUGCUGAAAGCUUAGCAGAACCAAAUACUCAAAUAGAAAAAAUGUGGCUGAUUUGCUUCAACAGCUUUCCGAGAUAAUAUACCAAAGUGGAAACUGAUAGCUUCUCCAGAUCAUACUUGCUCAUUCUGUCCCCGAUUCUUGGGCAGAACUCUGGUCUAGAGAGAACUUUCCUUAUUCCAAGAAGCACCGUGAGCAGAAGACCUAAAACAAGACCCAUAGAGUAAAGGGACAUGGGAAACAAAAUGGCAAAUCUGACAUCAGAAAAAAAUGAAGAAGAAAAUAAAUAAAAAAUAUAGCCUUCAUACUUUUAAGUAAAAUGAGUGUAAGCUAGUUGCAAAAGACAUAAAAUUAAUAAAAGAUAACAACUUAA
rnacentral:lncRNA from 1 species